GGAGUCUGUCUGGUGGUUCUGCCAUCUCCUAGGGCCUCAGGUCCUCCACCGGGUCCCUGCAUCUGACUCCUGGUGGGGGAACAGAUAGUGGUGAACGACCCUGUGAGAGGUUGUAGGGAAGUCGGGCCCAUUACAGCGACUCACAUUCAGAAUCAGCCCAUGUCUCACUGCAAGGGGCCAGGAGAAGUAGUUCCACCACGUGCCCAGGAAGAAGAGGAGCUCAGGUUUUGAAAGAAUCAAUGCUCUUAAAGAAAUUGAGACCACUGGAUGACCCAGCUCCACCUGCCACUGGUACUAAGGAACCUGGUCACCUAAGAUCUUACCUGGAAUUGGAGAAAACACAGACCUUCCCUUAAUUUCCCCAAGACUUGGAGAGAUUUUUCUCUCCUGUCUUAUUGCUUUGGACAAUUCAAAUAAACCUUUCUCUAUCUCUAA